rnacentral:rRNA from 1 species
GAGAUUAUAGCAAUAUGAUCUUAGCGGCGGACGGGUGAGUAACGCGUGGGCAACCUGCCUUCAACCGGGGGAUAACACAGGGAAACUUGUGCUAAUACCGCAUAACAUCAUGAAGUGACAUCACUUUAUGAUCAAAGGAGCAAUCCGGUAGAAGAUGGGCCCGCGUCCGAUUAGCUAGUUGGCGGUGUAACGGACCACCAAGGCAACGAUCGGUAGCCGAACUGAGAGGUUGAUCGGCCACAUUGGGACUGAGACACGGCCCAGACUCCUACGGGAGGCAGCAGUGGGGAAUAUUGCGCAAUGGAGGAAACUCUGACGCAGCAACGCCGCGUGAAGGAUGAAGGUUUUCGGAUUGUAAACUUCUUUGAUGGGGGACGAAUAAUGACGGUACCCCAAAAACAAGCCACGGCUAACUACGUGCCAGCAGCCGCGGUAAUACGUAGGUGGCGAGCGUUGUCCGGAAUUACUGGGUGUAAAGGGCGUGUAGGCGGGAAUACAAGUCAGAUGUGAAAUACCGAGGCUUAACUUCGGGGCUGCAUCUG